CUUCCGUAUUAUACUUGUCUCAAAUUCACUGGAAACUAUGAUUAUGCAAGUGAUGAAUAAACUAUAAAUGGUGGUGACGAAUCUUCAUCAGCAAAUGGUUCUAUGGUCUAGCGGUUAGGACAUUGGACUCUGAAUCCAGUAACCCGAGUUCAAUUCUCGGUAGAACCUAUUUUUCUUUUGUUUUUUUUGUUUCCACUGUUGUAGUACGUGUAUUAGCUGAGUCACAUCCUGUUUGACAACUUUUGCUAAACCGCUUUAUCUUUUUCUUUUUUUGUUUCCACUAGCGGAGGUUGGAAAAAGCGCUAGGCGUAAGCGAGGCAAUUGUCGUUCGCCUAAUGCCUAGGCGAUGCUUAAGCGGCCUAGGCGCAGCCUAGGCGGGCAUCAUUUAUACCAUCAAGUGUGUAUAUGGGUUAUUAUAUGUGAAUAAAAAUUAAUUUAGAGCAUGCAAAUACGAAGCACCGAUACGGCAACACGGAUACGGCGAUACGGAGACGGCGAUACGGGAUACGACGAUUUCAAAAAACAGCGAAACGGCGAUACGGCGAGUAUAUGUAUAAAUGCAAAAAUAUAAUAGACCAUAAAUCAAAAAUCAUAAUGAAGUAAAUACAAAAGAUGGGAUAGAACAUAGAAGUACUGCCCCAUUUUCUGUCUAUGGAAUUGCUUGCACUAGGACCAACUGAAGAUUGACCUCCUGCAGAUGCCAUCUCACUUCCUGGCCAGCCAAGCAAUCGUGUCAAACGGGAGAGCAACAAUCAAGCAGCAAUACGCAGGCCUAGCAUUAGGACUAGCAGAGCAGCAAGCAAGCAGCUGCUACCAAUCUCAGGUACAUAUGGGAGGCAGCAGCCAGCAGUACCUUGGGGAGGCAGCUACCUAUCUUAGCACUAGCCUACCACCAAAAGAAGACUGGCUGCCUACCAUGCCACUGCCUGCGGAUGACAUGUCGUCGGUAUCUCACUCCAGGUAUCGAUAGCACCAAAAAAAGACUGGCUGCCUGCCGUGCUUCUUCACCAUCAGAAAAGUAGCACACCAGAAAGGAGAAAGCAAGCAGAGGUUUUGAAGUAUCAGUGCUUCGUAGAUUCCAGGUAUCGUCGGAGUAUCGUUGGAGUAUCGGCGGAGUAUCGGCAUUCUUUUCUUUCUUUUUUAAUGUGGGAAAAUGGGAUACGCCAGCGAUACGUGUAUCGGAGUAUCGGUGGAGUAUCGGAGUAUCGGAGAAGUACGGUACGCAGCGGCAAGUUUUGAAGUAUCGGUGCUUCGUAAAUGUGUGAAUUUUUAAGAACUACCUUGAAAAUAAUGCCCAUCUAACUCGAUCGUGAAAUAUUGCAUGUUUUCUUAUUGUGGA